rnacentral:lncRNA from 1 species
UGAACGUGACCGACUCCGGAGCUAUUUCUGCUGUCAAGAUUUGCUCCGAUGGGAUAUGGGUAUAACUGUCCCUCCGAUCUGAGACCACCACGGUGACUUGCAAGCAACUCACUGCACUUAGGCACUGGACUACCUGAAUUUCUAAUUCAGUGACAGAAGGAUGCUGAGUGUAGUCAAGUACUUGACUUGUCGGUGCGUGUGUCAAGAGGAGAUUGACCAUUCCAGUUCAGGAGCUGUGUACAGUCGUAUUUUAAUUUAAAAAAUUCUUAGCCAGGGUAGUCC